GACGAACGCUGGCGGCGUGCUUAACACAUGCAAGUCGAACGGAAAGGCCCUGCUUUUGCGGCGUUCUCGUUAGCCGAACGGGUGAGUAACACGCGAGUAACCUGUCCUUGACUUUCGGAUAACUCUAGGAAACUGCGGCUAAUAUCGGAUAUGAUCUCUUGCUGCACGGUGUGGGUUGGAAAGUUUCGGCGGUUGGGGAUGGACUCGCGGCUUAUCAGCUUGUUGGGGGGGUAGUGGCUUACCAAGGCUUUGACGGGUAGCCGGCCUGAGAGGGUGACCGGCCACAUUGGGACUGAGAUACGGCCCAGACUCCUACGGGAGGCAGCAGUGGGGAAUAUUGCACAAUGGGCGGAAGCCUGAUGCAGCAACGCCGCGUGCGGGAUGACGGCCUUCGGGUUGUAAACCGCUUUCGCCUGUGACGAAGCGUGAGUGACGGUAAUGGGUAAAGAAGCACCGGCUAACUACGUG
rnacentral:rRNA from 1 species